UGCUCGGUUUAAUCUUCAGCAUUCUGUUCAUUGUGAAAUUCAUUGGCAUCGAUUUGAAUAGUGUGUUGUAUGCUGGUUUUCAUACAUCUGCUUACAGUAGUUCAACGUAUAGUUUGCUUGUUGGUUUUAUGCUUCGGCACAAGAUAUCGAUUGUAUUCGAAAAGCUUCAAAAAAUUUACGACGAAAAUCGAUUUAAGGAUUCCGCCGACAUUUUGGCAAAAGCAAAUGAAAGAGGCACAUGGAUAACGGAAAAUGUAAUGAAGUUUCUCACUUUGAGUUAUUUUCUUGCGUCAAUUUUGCUCGCCAUUCUGAGCGCUCUAUACUGUUAUUUCGUGAAUGGGCUCACUGACGUGCAACCACUUUAUGUCCCGUUCAAAUUCAUUUUGCCGUGGAACCAGCAAACUUUACGCGGAUGGAUUUUUGAGACGAUUUUCAGUGACAUUUCAUCUUCACUGUAUCUUCACACCAACAUGGUAUUCCUCGCCUUUUUCAUUGCGGUUUGUGAAUUUCAUCAGGC